rnacentral:tRNA from 1 species
GCCGCGAUAGCCAAGAGGUCGAAGGCGCCGGAUUGCAAACCCGGCGAGCAUUGCUCCACGUCGGUUCGAACCCGACUCGCGGCUCCA